CAUCUGCCAGUAAGGACACCUUCUACACCGCUUAAAUGUGCUGGCACGUGUGCUACAUGUGAAGAUGCGUGUGGAGCUAGCAAACUUGAGAUGACAUGUGAAGUGGAUUGAUGCGUUUCUUUGUUAUUUUUGGUUGUGUAAGUUUGUUAAGCAUGACUAUAUUUGGAAUGGGAGGUCGAUCCGUGUACUUCGACCGCAUCCAGCUGCAGUCUGAGUUUUCAAUUCUAACAAAUGGAGCUCAUUGUUCGGUGAUCCAAGCCGUCGGUAUGUUGUGUCCCACUGUGAGUGGGGAUCAAUGAACCAAAAUCACCAUAGACUGGAAAAUCCCAAUGGGCAUCCUUAAGAUCCUUUUCACUUGCAUGUGGACCGUUGUUGUGUUUCUUCUUAACCUAGUGCCUGAACUCUAAUUAUCCUAACAGGUAUAUUUUCCGGGAACGGUCUUACAUGACAGGAUGUGAUAGACUAAUUGUCGAUUACCAAACCAAAGCAACCCACUUUAAUGAAUUAAAAAGCAGUGUACAAAGGGGCAUGAGCACG